UACGGGGGGGGCAAGCGUUGUUCGGAAUUACUGGGCGUAAAGGGCUCGUAGGCGGCCAACUAAGUCAGACGUGAAAUCCCUCGGCUUAACCGGGGAACUGCGUCUGAUACUGGAUGGCUUGAGGUUGGGAGAGGGAUGCGGAAUUCCAGGUGUAGCGGUGAAAUGCGUAGAUAUCUGGAGGAACACCGGUGGCGAAGGCGGGUCUCUGGGCAAUUCCUGACGCUGAGGCGCGAAAGCGUGGGGAGCAAACGGG
rnacentral:rRNA from 1 species